rnacentral:lncRNA from 1 species
UGUAUAUAUGCUAUAUUUAAACCCUCUACAUAAGUGGAAUUAUACUGUGCUGUAAAUUACUUUUUCCACUCAAAAUUGUUUUUGCGCCAAUUAAGAUGUUUGGCAGAUUUUGUUUUCCUAAAUGGCUGUGACAGUUUUUUCCAUCUUAUAUGCUUUUCUUACCAUGUGACUUUGAUACUCCUCUUGAGAGAUGUCUGGGGGUCCCCUCCUCCUGAAUCUGGGUGGGGAACUUUGGAUUGCUCUUACUAAAAGAAUACAGCAGAAAUGAUGCUUUGUGAUUUCUGAAGUUUAUUCUAUACUGAGGAGGACGAAACUCCAAAAGUUCAGGAUCACAAGCUCUUCAGCAGGAACUCACCCCUGUUUUCUUCAACAGCCUUCCGUACUGAUCUUUGGUCCUCCUUAAAACUGAUUUUAUCGGAGAUGCAUAGAAUGGUGGAUCUAUGAGAUAUUGCAGAUUUUACAAAUUGAAGGUUUGUGACAACUCCCUCAAGGAAGUCUGUUGGUGUUAUUUUUCCAACAGCAGGUACUCCAUGUCUGUGUCACAUUUUGGCCUUUAA